UACGACUACAUAUCAGGCAUAUCAAUAAGCGGAGGAAAAGAAACUAACAAGGAUUCCCCUAGUAACGGCGAGUGAAGCGGGAAGAGCUCAAAUUUGAAAUCUUCAAGGUUUACCUUGACGAAUUGUAGUUUAUAAGAAGUGUUUUCUGUUAGAGAGUUCGGUAAAAGUUCUUUGGAAUAGGACAUCAUAGAGGGUGAGAAUCCCGUAUUUGACCGUUACUUUCCAGCUGUGUGAUACACUUUCAAAGAGUCGGAUUGUUUGGGAAUGCAGUCCAAAAUGGGUGGUAAAUUUCAUCUAAAGCUAAAUAUUGGCGAGAGACCGAUAGCGAACAAGUACCGUGAGGGAAAGAUGAAAAGAACUUUGAAAAGAGAGUUAAACAGUACGUGAAAUUGUCAAAAGGGAAGCGUUUGACACCAGUGUUGUUUUCUCGAAAAUCAAUUAAGAAUGGCUUGAUUUUGUGUUGUAUUGACCUUAUCAAGCUUUCUUCACUCUUUUUCGAUGUCUUUCUUAAUGUACUUUUCGUUAACAAGUCAACAUCAGUUUCUUUUGUUGUAAAAAGGGUAUUUGGAAGGUGGCUUUCUUUUCGGAGAAAGUGUUUAUAGCCUUAUACCUCUACGAUCGGAGAGAUUGAGGUCUGCAGCGUAGAUCCUUCGGGGCUAGAUACACUUGUGCUAAGUUAUAGCUUUUCAUAGACAACUUGUUGACUAUGUUUAGUCAUGUAGCUUACCCGCUUGUGCUAUUUUACCUACGCUUAGGAUGUUGAUCUACAGAGCGAGAGU
rnacentral:rRNA from 1 species